CCAGCUGAGAGAGCUCGUCCUAGCUGUGUUCUGAUCAAGUUGUCCUCCAAUUGGUGAAAUCUCAAGACACAGACACAGAUGUUAUUAGGCAGUGUGGGCAUGUAAUUCUGCUGUCACAUUGUUGAACAAGAGGGAUACAGGAGAACUUGCUAUAGGGCCAUUUAACAAAGGGAAAUUUACAAAGACAUGAAUUAAUUGUAGAGAUCCCACAGAAGAAUACACCUUGUAUAACAACUUGGGGAUAUUGACAGCUGUGAAUUGUAUCUAACAUUAAGCCUGAGGGAUAAGAAGGAAUAAUUGACCUGGCUGUAGGAGGUGGCACAGAGUACAUCAUGAGAAAUACUGGGCUGGAUGAAGCACACGCUGGAAUCACAACUGCUCGGAGAAAUAUCAAUAACCUCAGAUACGCAGAUGAUACCACCCGUAUGGCAGAAAGAGAAGACCUAAAGAGCCUCUUGAUGAAAAUGAAAUAGGAGAGUGAAAAAGCUGGCUUAAAACUUAACAUUCAAAAAGUGAAGAUCAGGGCAUCCAGUCCCAUCUCUUCAUGGCAAAAAGAUGGGGAAACAAUGGAAACAGUGAGAGACUUUAGUUUUUUGGACCCCAAAAUCAUUGCAGAUUUGACUGCAGCCAUGAAAUUGAAAGAUGCUUACUCCUUGAAAGGAAAGCUUUGACCAACCUACACAGCAUAAUAAAAUCAGAGACAUUACUUUGCUGACAAGGAUCCGUCUAGUCAAAGCUUGGUUUUUCACUAGUCAUGUAUGUAGUGAGAGUUGGACCAUAUAGAGACCUGAGCACUGAAGAAUUGAUACUUUUGAACCAUGGUGUUGGAGAAGACUCUUGAGAGUCCCUUGGACUGGGAGGAGAUCAAACCAUUCCAUCCUGGGGAAAAUCAGUCCUGAAUAUUCAUUGGAAGGACUGAUGCUGCAGCUGAAACUCCAAUACUUUGGCCACCUGAUGGGAGGAACUGACUCAUUGGAAAAGACAGUGAUGCUGGGAAAGAUUGAAGGUGGGAGAAGGGGACAACAGAGGAUGAGAUGGUUGGAUGGUGUCACCGAGUCGAUGGACAUGAGUUUGACGAAGCUCUGGGAGUUGGUGAUGGACAGGGAAGUCUAGCAUGCUGUGGUCCAUGGGAUUGCAAAGAGUUGGACAUGACUGAGUGACUGAACUGAACUGAAACGUGACAAAACCAUUAUGGUUUUUACGGAUGUUAAACAGACAGUAAAGCUGUAUUACGAAGCCAUUUUACUAUCUACAUGAAAUAGAAUGUCUAGAAAAUGCAAAUUACCAAACGUAGUACAACAACUAUAAACCUGUAUAACCUUAACAUGUGUUAAAUAUAUUAAGUUCACUGUGUAAACCUUCCUGCAAAAAAUUCUAGGAGCUCUAAUGGUAACAAUAGUGAAUAAUAACACUUAAAACUAUGCCAGGUCUUCCACCAUAAAACAGAGACUUCUAUAGAGCCUUGAUAAGAAAACAUGUCAAGUUACACAAUAUUAAUGGAUUCAGUCCAAACUCUUUGUGAUAAUGGAUGAAAAAAACCAUCCUACUCUAAAUAUGAUAUAUGCAGUGAUUUUUCAA